rnacentral:rRNA from 1 species
AGACGUCUACAUUAGAUACCCCUGUAGUCCAGGGUGUAAACGCUGCAGACUUGGUGUUGGAAGCCCUUUGGGGGCAUUCAGUGCCGGAGAGAAGUUGUUAAGUCUGCUACUUGGGGAGUACGUCCGCAAGGAUGAAACUUAAAGGAAUUGGCGGGGGAGCACCGCAACGGGAGGAGCGUGCGGUUUAAUUGGAUUCAACACCGUAAAACUCACCAGGGAAGACUGUUACAUGAAGGCCGAGAUGAAGACUCUGCUAGAUUUUCAG